rnacentral:rRNA from 1 species
CCUACGGGGGGCAGCAGUGAGGAAUAUUGGUCAAUGGGAGGAAUCCUGAACCAGCCAUGCCGCGUGCAGGACGAUGGCUCUACGAGUUGUAAACUGCUUUUGUACCGGGGUAAAAUGCUCUACGAGUAGGGUUUUGAAAGUACGGUACGAAUAAGGAUCGGCAAACUCGGUGCAAGCAGCCGCGGUAAUACGGAGGAUCCGAGCGUUAUCCGGAUUCAUUGGGUUUAAAGGGUGCGUUGGUGGGUUGAUAAGUUAGCGGUGAAAUACCGAUGCACAACAUCGGGGCUGCCGCUAAUACUGUAGGACUAGAGAUCGGAUGCAGCAGGCGGAAUGUGUGGUGUAGCGGUGAAAUGCAUAGAUAUUACACAGAACACCGAUUGCGAAGGCAGCUUGCUAGGCCGGAUCUGACACUGAUGCACGAAAGCGUGGGGAUCGAACAGGAUUAGAUACCCUGGUAGUC